AAAAUGACUUAACUCAUCAGUCAAGCCUAUUAACUUAGAUCAUUUUG
rnacentral:tRNA from 1 species